rnacentral:tRNA from 1 species
AGCGGUUAAAGAGUUUGGCUGCUAACCGAAAGGUCAGUGGUUCAAAUCCGCUAGCCGCUC